AAUUUGCUCUGGCGAUCGGCCCGCUGGACGUGAAAGAAACCGGAUGGGAGCCGUCGCUCCAGUUCACAGUGGGAUGCCUUGUGGCAAUCGACCUGUGUGGGACUCGCGUUAGCCAAUCCAACAUAGAUAAUCUCCCAAAGAAAGUCACUACCUUGCUACUCUUCACGGCAAACGAAGACUCGGCCGACCUUCCAACGCAGGAGAAAUUCGCGCAACGAUUAAAAUCCAUCUCCUCCGGUAGGAUGCUUUGAUCUUCAACAAUGUGGAAAAAUUCUCCCGUCGCUACUGUCCCAGAUGGAGUGCCACACCUGCAUUACACAUAUCGCCGCGAGCUGGAAGUCCCGCACGCGAUGAUCCACCCAAACGAGGUAGGAAAUCGAGAAAUUCUCGAGAGAUUUCUAACCUCUCGCUUGGCGCAGAGGCCGAUCGCGAACAAGCUGUGGAGAAAAAUGUACCAGGAGACAUUUCGAUUCCUGACCGCCGGGAGGGCGCGGUCGAUUCGCUGCGCCAAGACGAAACCCUACCCCAAGUACCAUAAACCCUAAAACCGCAAGCUUUUAUCUCCUCGUGAGAGCAAGCAAACUAAACGCUACGAGCUAGAACUUUGGAUCAUAACAGAUAGAAGUUUUUCGUUGUGAUCAUCUUCUCAAGCUCCUGUUACUUUCAAAAGAACUUAGAACCCUUUGGAACUUGACGCUUGCUCAACCUGCAUGGAAGAAAGAACGUCGAUGAGAACACGAGAAAAGAGAGAACCACCAUUGGAACUCGGCAUGGAUGGUGUGGAGUCGCUUCACUGCUCACCAUCCGAAGCUGUGGAUUGCUGGCCUUGAGCCUGCAAUUGCUGGGCUUGGGUUUGUUGAUCCAGCUGCCACUGCUGCUGCUGCUGCUGCUGUGGCAACGCCAUGUACUGCAUUGGCGGCCGCUGCUGCUGCGUGUAGAGCACUGGAUCCAUUGGAAUGGCCGGCCUUCCAAUCACUCCCCCAGGAAUCAUGUAGAGUAGCAUGUCUGGAGCUCUGAUCGGCAGCACGGAUCAUGAGACACCCAGCGCCUUGUCCUUGGCAUCCUUGCAUGGCACGAUGUCCACCAGGAAAUCAAAGAUGUCCGUGCGAGUGACUGCCGCCGCAAUGUCAUUCUUCUGGAGCAUCUCGCGUGCAGCGUCAGCUCCAGGAUGAACAUCUUGCAUGCCUUGGCAAAGAGCACAGGUGCCUCACUUGAGAUCAUCCUCAUGUCCUUGUCUGCCUUCAUGAUCUUCUUGAUGUGCACUAGGGGCAAGCUGUGCAUCUUGAAAUCCAUCAUCUCCUAGAUAUCUUGCAUCUGCCCCACCCAAAAGUCUUGCAUUUGCUGCAUCUGUCUUUGACUCUGGAGUAGCAGUUGAUGCUAUGUAGUUAUUGUUGAACAAUCAAACUUAAUUGAUGGUGGCAUUCAUAGCAUGUGGUAUAACUUCUCUUGGUCUUGUUACUAAUCUUCAAGUUUGGCCAGAGUUGUUUUGUGGGAGUCCUAGAGAUGAUAUAUACUAUUGGUUCGAUUACUUUACAGUGAUUAUUACAUAUUAUUCUUGGGAUGAUAUUUGGUAUUUGCAUGAAUUUCCCAUGUGUUUCCAAGGGACAACACUUCAAUGGUACAAUGGUUUGAGUGUAGUCAAUCAUGAGGAUUAAAGUAUUCUCUUAAACAUCUUUAAAUAUGCAUUUGAACAUAUCAACGAUGAUGUUUUCUAACAAAUGUAUCAUCUUCAUCAAGGUGUAAGUUCUUGAAUUCGGACUUCCUGGGAGAUCACCCAACCCAAUACUAUUCAAACCUAUUCAAACCCAAGGAUGCUUAACCCCAAAUACCUUAAAAUCCUUAAUCAAUUAAAAAAAUGGGUGCACUCUUAUUCAUGGGGCUUUUUCUUCUAUAUUUGAACUCCAUGGAUUGUUUCUUAAGUCGUUCUCUUUGGUUACUUACAAUCCACUAUCCUUUUCCACAAGUUCACAUCCUCGUGAACGGAAGCUGAGAGCCAUAACUUUCCCAAGAGCCUUGCUCUUUUGACACCCUACCCCUUGGGUCGAGCUUAGCCAAAGCAAACUAGACUUGCCAAAUGUCAAUCAGCAUAUGGUAUGAUUCCCUUAGCCAACUAACAGAGUCAGACCAGCUAUUGUAAGGAACCAACUCUCGAGGUGUCGUAGGCUAAAAGAUCCCCAAAGGCACGACCAAAAUGAUAAAGAGUUCAUCGAAUGGGACUGAGUUUAACAUCGAGUCCAAGACUGACUUUGAGACCGAGUUCAAGAUAGAGUUCGGGAUCAAGUCGAAGGCCAACUCUGAGACCGAGUUCGAAACCAAGUUCGAGAUCUGAGAUUGGGUUCAAGACCGAGUCUAAAUAUUAAUAUAUGUUGUGGGGUGAAAGCCCAAAGCAUGUGUCUCCCAAGGGGGGUACAGGGGGUUCCAAAAGUAUAGUAAAGAUAGUGGGGUUUAGGAAUUAAUUUUAAAGGAAUUUUCUAGUGGUGUUUCUAAAUUGACUUGAGGUUGAGACUGGGGUUUAGGGGCCUUAGGUAGGAGUGAGUAUAGACUCGGGUAGUACUAGAGGGGCUACCCAAGAAAGUGCUCAAGAGUAACUCCCACUCCCAAAAGGGAAAUCAAUUGCGGUGGUGGAGUGGUGCCCCACUUAAGUACCUUACGACUCAUUGGUCCUCACCCCUUUUUAGGGGCUUGUGCCUUCCUUUCGGGAUGGAAAUGGGGGAAUAGAGGUACCCAUACUUGACUAUUAGGCUAUGGUGUUUCCCACUGGUGCUCUGAAGCAAGUCUUACACCCAAGGUUUGGGAUUUAAAAGGUCCAAUGAUCAAGUCUUGUUAUACCAAGGGAUGUUAAGAACUUGGAGGCUUGGUGUGCUUGGCUACUUGUGCUUAUGGGGAUUGUAGCCGAAUCUUAAGUCCAGUCUAACCUAGGGAGGGAGAUUGGGAGAGAUUUGCGAAUCCAUAGAUGGAUUGCUAACACUUUGUUGCUUAUGUAGUGAAUAGCUGAAAUCAAAUAGGACCAAGUAGGAGCUAGUACAAUAGGCAAGAACCUUAGCGAUGAAACUUAACUAAGGGCAAGGCAGUGUUGGUCAAAUAGACAAGGCAAGCUGGCAAAUUGGAAAGGAAAAAUUUAUGACUUACAAUUUGGUAUCAGAGCCUUUUCUUUAGUUUUAGUGAAGGAUAAAGGCCGAUUGCUGGGAGAUGGCAAAGAUAGGGCAUAAAAGAACCAAGGCGAAGACAAAACCUCCUCCAGAGCUGGAGCCUUCAGUCGAACAAGAAUCUAUGGAUGAGGAAUCCUUUACAUAAGGAAGACUUUAGUGAAGAAACUUUUAAAUAGGAGUCUAGUGGCAAGGUUCAGUUGUCCAAGGCUUGAUUGGACGUUCUAGAAGGACAACUGGCACAAACCAAUUCCCUGUUAAAAACUCUCAUACGCAAGCUAAAACAUGAUGAGAAGCGGAAGAAAAAGCAAAAGACUGCAUAUGCUGGUAGCGCAAAAGGCAUUGCCCCUUUAGUGGGGACUGAGGCGGAACCGAACAAAGUCGAACAAACUGAAGUGGAAUCAAUCCCUCGGGGAUGGUCUAAAGUUGAGUUGAGCUCACGAGUUAAGCUCAAUUCAACACAAGUCUGCUCAAGUCAACACAGUCAACUAGAAGUCUUACAAAGGAAAUCUAAAUUGAGCAAAUGAAAGUUCUAGCAAACUUUAAAAUAUUUAAAUACGUAAAUAUCUGAGUUAAAAGUUUUUAUAAGAUUAAAUUGUUUAAAAAAGGCAAAGUUCACAAAAACCUAUCUUUUAUAAAGUUAUAUUAUUUUAUUAUGACUACUGCUAUAGCUGUUAUAUUUUGAUUUGACUACUUAAUAUUUUGAAUAAUUUUACAGCUGUAGAUACUAUUCCUUCAUUCAGAAGAUUUUUUAGGGUUCUUGAGAAGAUGGGAAGCAAGGAAAAUACAAGAUCUAUGAGUAGAAGUUGCAAUGGAAAAGAAUUUGAGAAUGCUAAUUUUGUUUUACUACCACAAUUUCCAUAUUACACUCGUGGUCCUUAUUACCCAUCUAGGAAUGUAGAGACCACUUGAUAAAAAUGCUUCUGUUAUUUCUAAAACAACAAUUUAGAGCAAGAGAAAUGAAGAAAUGAAUAGCAAGGCGGAAAGCAUUAAGAAAUUUACUCCAUAAAACUUUUUAUGACAUUUAUAAUUUACAUAUUAAUUCGUAUCAAAAGCUUUGUUGCUUGCCUAUAUCGCAAUCUUCUCAUAUAAUAAGACCAAGGUAUAUUUUUGCAGUGAAUCCUCAUUAAAAGUUUUCGAGAGUUGUUUGUGAAUAAUAAUAAAAGAAAUCGAAAUCUUUCAAAAGACUCAAAAGUAAAAUCAUAUCAAAGAAUCAACUUUAUUUACAUUUCCAAGACUGAAAAGCAAUUUCACAUAAGAGAAUGGUAGCAUGCCAAUGUGCUCUGCCACUGAAAUAUGGUCUAUAUUUCCUUACAAUCUAUUUCCCUAGACAUUUAGCAUGUGUAAAAAAGAAUAUAUGUGUAGCAAAGUAGGAUUUCAUCAUAAUGAUAAAGUAUGUGUAUACAUGAUAAUCUAAAAUUUUAGAAGCUCUUAUGUUUACAAGCAAGCUAUGAUUAUAAAGCCCCAUUUCCAAGACUGAUAUUUAAAGAAUUUGAGUAUUUUGAGUAUUAUCAGUGUCAUAAUAAAUAAACCUCAUUCCCAAGACUAAAACUUAGUAUAUAAACUAUUUAGAAAAGUUAUAGUCAUCAUAGUUUUUUUGUUCUUCUUGAGCUCCUUGGAAGUUUCCUUUUGAGGAAAUAUCUUCCGGCGGAUGAAAUGGUUCCGUCCCCAAAAUAUAUUCCAGUUCAUCCAACGAAAUUAGUUGCCGAAGCGCUCCCUCGCAACUGGUACAAGCAUUGGCUAUUGCAAAAUAUGGGGUUUUUAGGCCACCCUAUAGUGGAAUGUAAGAUCUAGAAUUACUUUACUAUACUAUAGUAUUGCCACUAUUAAAAGAAAAUAUAUAAUAAAAUGAUAUUAAUUAUAGGUAACAUACUUUGUUCUAGAAAGUGCUAUCAUAUCACAUAUAACUGUUUACAAAAUGUUGAAGGAGGAGAUGGCAACACACAAGUGCUACAAAGUGAUGGUGAUAGGUGAGAAUGAUAAUUUGCAAUUAUGAUAUCUGACAUUGACACUGACAUCUGACACUUUCACUGACAUCUUACAGUUUUACUGACAUUUAACACUUUCACAAACAUCUAAUAUAUAACAAGCUUUUCAUUUUAUGUAAGGAUGCAAUUAACUUUCUUCUACCUCAUCAUCAACAUAUUGAUUUCUUUUAUGCUUCCUCCUAUAUUAGUAUUGUGGGGAAGAUUCACUUUGCAUAUGUUGAGCCAUGGCUUUGCAUAGUCAGGGAGACUUCCAAAGCCUCCAAUUCUAGAAACUCCAAGUGACUGUGAUAUAUAAAUAGAAUUAAACAUAUAUUGAAAUUUUAAUAAACAUAAUUCCUUGAGGUUGGAAAUCCUCUGAACCGGCGUUUAAAGAAAUGAUGUUCUUCAAUAGCAAACACCAACCUACCAAAGUCAUGUGCUGCCUCCACUAUAGAACCACUACCUACUAUGUAAUCAAUCACAGCACCAUCUGAUGGGCAAUAGAGCUCAAGUAAGACUUGUAUCGCCAAUAGAGUUCGAAAUCUAUACCCUGGAAACGUCUUGCGGAUUUGCUCAUCCACAAGGUUGGGUAUGAACUGUUGUACCCAGACAAAACAUGUGUUGUAUGUUUGCUAUCACGAAACCCAUCAUGUGUGUUUCUGCAGAAAGCAUGAUAGGUCUAUAUCAUAAUCUAGAAAAUAAAAAUGUUUAGAAAUUAGAUAAAAAUAUAUAAUACAUACUCACCUUUUCAAGCUUCCCUUGGACGCCCCUCAUAUUGAUGCUAAUAGGAUCCAUAAUGCAUCUGGAAGAAAAUGCCUUGAAAUGCACUUCUGCUACGCAUGUCAUAAGCUUAUACAUCCAGUUGGGGUCGUUUGGUAGGAUGAAGAUGACAUGGCCAAUUUCGAGCAUAAGUGUUUUGGACAAGAGGAAUGCAUUGUGCAUGUGGUCAGGUGUGAGAAAGUUCCAAUCCUCAACUUUCCCAUCAAUAUCUGAAAGACCAUCUGGAAAGUCAAAGAGAAUGAAGUCCGCAACUGGGAGCAAGGGCCUUUGUAUCUUUCGGCACCAACGGUUGNNNNNNNNNNNNNNNNNNNNNNNNNNNNNNNNNNNNNNNNNNNNNNNNNNNNNNNNNNNNNNNNNNNNNNNNNNNNNNNNNNNNNNNNNNNNNNNNNNNNNNNNNNNNNNNNNNNNNNNNNNNNNNNNNNNNNNNNNNNNNNNNNNNNNNNNNNNNNNNNNNNNNNNNNNNNNNNNNNNNNNNNNNNNNNNNNNNNNNNNNNNNNNNNNNNNNNNNNNNNNNNNNNNNNNNNNNNNNNNNNNNNNNNNNNNNNNNNNNNNNNNNNNNNNNNNNNNNNNNNNNNNNNNNNNNNNNNNNNNNNNNNNNNNNNNNNNNNNNNNNNNNNNNNNNNNNNNNNNNNNNNNNNNNNNNNNNNNNNNNNNNNNNNACCUGAUCCGGAUCUUGGUUGUUUGAUGGUUGAACUGAAGCCUGAUCCUAGCUGUCUGGUGGUGGAAUGCGAACUUGAUCUGGAGCUUUCUCAUCUUCGUCUCUAUCAUCACUGGCAUUGCCAUCAUUGUUAGUAUUGACAACUUCCUCGUGAUCUAGUGUACAAGUCUCCUUCCCUAGGAGCUCCAACUCCCAAGGGCAUUCUAUCUUCCGUGCCUUUGGAACUCUUACAAACAUUGUUCGGUACAUUCCUCCAUCCUUUACGCCUUUUGUAACAAGUUGAGUGAAAACUAGUGCCUCAAAUGGCAUGCCUCUAUAUCAAAUAUAUAUGUAAACAAUAUAUAUUUAAAAAAAGUCUUAGAAAUCAUAUUAUACCUAUAAGUUGCAUGUCGCAUGAAAUAAGGCUGACUAUAUUGGCAAUCAUAAAUUGUUGUGCUUGUAGACUUCUCUGGCAACCACCCCUUUUCGAUCCCUUCCAAUGAUGUAUUGAUAUAGGUGUUGAAAGACAUGAAUGUGCCAUCUAGAUCGUCACCAAUGUGUGGUGCCAAGAACUUCUCACCUUCACUUAUAGUUUGCGUGAUGUAGACAGCCCUUCUCAUUAUGUUCUUAAAUAGUUCUAACAGUCCUUUCUCUUUGUUCAUCAAGCAGACAUUGAGGAACUCUAGAGUCUCUAUCUAUUGCUUAUAUAGAAGUUUCAAUUUUGCGAUAUUGUAAAUUAUGUCAUCUAGAGUUUUGUUCACAGCAAAAGUAACAUAUGCAUAAUUGAGAAAAAUGAAGUGUGAUAAGAAACUUACAUUCAUGAGAAGAAGCUUUGGCUCUAGUCUCUAGCCACUCCUUUGGCCUAUGAUUGUCUGCAAUGCAUACUAGUUUCUUCAACUUUGAAGACUUUGCAUGCUGAAUUUUAUGCUCAAUUUAUACAAACUUAGUCGAGAGCUCUUCCCGACUCUUCUCCGAAUAUACAAGUUCGUAAGCAUCUUGCUUGACCUUCACCAAAGGCUAAAAACCAAAACAAUUAAAAGGAGCCCUUAUAAAAUGAAAGGGAAAGACAUACCUUGCACCACAUAACGAGCAUAAAACUGAUUGGGUUGUUGAACCAAAUUGUACCGCCAUUUCGAGUGCGUGAGUGCCAAACAAAUGUUGCGAAAUCAUCAUCAUAAUGUUGGCAGAUGUCAUCCUCACUUAAAAGUGAAUGUGCCAAAAUGAAUGUGAAGUAAGAGUCAGUUGUUAUCUUCUCAUCCUCUUGUAGUUCAAGUGGAGAAGUCAUGCUAGUGUCGGUGCCGAAUUCACCAACUCCAGCUCCAACUUCAGCUCCAACUUCAGCAAUAUUCAAAGUCGUUAGUAAUGCUUUCCAGUUUUUGCGCCUCUUAAUUGAUGUGCACUUGUUUUUGUAUAAGCUUAUGAGUGAGCUUCCAUCCUCCUAUAAUGGCAACAUUUUCUUUGAGCUACCACCACUUGUUAGCAGUAUAGGUUCCAAAUGGAAGGGGAUGGAAACCAAGCAGGAUGUCCACAAUUGGUGCAAAAUCAAGACCAUAUACUUCCAACAUUUUGAAAGCAUAGUGUCUAUAGUUUAUUGUGGCGAGCAUUUAAAUUGUGUGGAUGAAGCAUGCAAUCAAAACCAUUGUAGAAAUUUUAUAUUUUUUGAAGGGUCUACAGUCAAUCCUCCAGCCUGUGACACCAUUUCUGUUGAAUUCAAGUAUCCAUUCUGCAAAAAUGCUCCUCUAUGUUAUGCUAUUUACGAGGCCAAGAUGUAUUAUUUUCUUCCAUGGGAUGGAGUGGCUGGAAGAGCUACAGUGUAUGUUGGCACACAUGCAUCUAAUGCAAGAAGGGUUACAAAGGAGUUCUCUCAACCGUUUCAAAAAUGUUGUGUAGGAAGAGACUAUAAGAAACUCAUUUACAACUCCAAAGCAUGUUCAAAAGACUGUCUUCAAGGAUUUUAUCGCAAACACCUUACUCAAUCCAAGUUGCCAAAAGACUCAACUAAAAAAGACUAGCUUGCGGGACUUAUUACGAGGAGUACAACUUGCUACUAGCCUAAGGAGGUACAUUCGUUAUAUUUCAUACAUUAUAAUAUAUCUUUUUAUUACAUUUUAUUGUUUAGGAUAAAAUCUUGGAUAUGUGAAUCUUGAGAGGGUGGUUUAUGUGUGGUUUAGUUAUGCUAUGCAAUGGGAUAGUUAUUGCAUGUCCUAUCCCUUAAACCCUGCAAAGAAAGAUUGUGAGAGUUAAAAUUAUCAACACUAGAACCCACAGAUAUUAGUGUGUAUUUCCCUCUUUUUGAAUGAAAGUAUGAAUGAAGAUCCAUAAAUUCUAGACAGUAUGCUAUGACAAACCCCUUAAGAAUGUAUUCUAGAAAAGAACCAAGUCUUUCUUUUAUAUAUAAUAAGCUUACAUCAACAGUUAGUAUUUUUUUCCUUUCAAACGGUUAUAUAGCUUUAUAUAGAAUCUUAUUUCAAAAUUAAUAAUUUUUUAAUUCUGACAAACUUGACAUUUACUAGCCAGAAAGCACAAAGUACAGAUUUAAGGAAGUGACAAGAAUACUUUUUUUACAAACAUCUUAUUUUAUAUUCUGAAAAAUAUCCCUAUUAUGGCAUGUAGUAAAUAUUUAAAUUGUUAGAACAAGAAGUAUUGUUUAGAAUAUUUUUAUCUAUAUAAUAUGUAGAGAGUUAUGAAAUUAUUAAAUUUGCCAUAACCUUAAUAUUUUAAAGUUUUUAAUGUUUGUAUUAAAUUUCAAUUGAAACUUUAGUUCAACUCUUCAACUCAUGAGCUUAAGUAUAGUCCAUGCUCAAUUCCUCAAGUAGUUCCUAAGUACAAACCAAAGCCCCCACUGGUCUUCAAGGGAGUGAAUGACUAUAAAGUGGUAGAGGAUUAAUUUUACAAUAUGGAGGAUUACUUUUGAGCAUUUGUCUCUCUAUUAUUUCCUCUUAUGUUUUUAUUUUAUUCUUUUAUUCCCUUUUCCGAUCCCUUCGACAGUCUUUGUGUUGCAACAAUUGACCGACUCAUGAAGGAGUAUGCCAAUCUCUUUGAAUUUGACUUGUUUUUUGGGGCUAAGAUUGCAACACAUCAUUCUAUUCCAACUAGGGAUGUGAACUUUAUUUUGUGACAAAGUCUGAUAGGAGUAUUCGUUUCUGCAUCAACUAUUAUUCAUUAAAUGAAGUGACAAUUUUGGAUGUGUACCCUUUUCCUCACAUUAUUAAUUUUGUAAAUCAUUUGGGGAGAAGUCAUUUAUUCACCAAGUUAGAUCUUGCUUCUAAGUACUAGCAAGUGCCGAUGGCUAAAGAAGAUAUUCUCAAAACUACUUUUUGUACACUAUUUAGUUUGUAAGAGUUUUUGGUGAUGCCAUUUAGUUUGAACAAUACUUCAAUGACUUUCCAAUGGAUGAUAAACAAAGUUCUUUGUUCCAUGAUUGAAUGAUGUAUAGUGCUUUUUAGGCAAGGUGCAAUAUCUUGACUAUUUUGUUGAUUAUCUUUCUAAUCAUAUUACACCAUUACAAGCAUUGUUGAAGUUGUCAACAUCAUCUUCAUUAGGUUUAUGGAUUGUGAGUGAAUGUUUAUAUAUCUCAAAGAGUUGUUAACAACUCCUCUAGUUUUGGCAUAUCCUGACUAUACUUGACUUUUCAUUUUAUGCAUGGAUACUUUUGAUAUCAGUCUUGGAGGUGUGUUGAUGCAAGAGAGCCCAAAUAUGCCUAUUCAGUACCAUCCUAUUACAUACAUUAGCCUUACAACUAAUGAAAGUGAAUUACUCUACAAUAAAGAAGAAGUGUUUAGCAAUAGUUUAGGGUUUCAAAAAACUUUAUGGUUUUUGGAUAUUAUUAUAAGGUAAUCAUGCUACAGUUACUUCUUUAUUAAAGCAAAAGAACUUGGUUGGUCAUAUUGUUCGAUGAGCUUUGAAGUUUCAAAUAUGAAAGUUUAAUAUUGUUCAUCGCCUAGGGAGUGAUGUUGACGCCCUUUUUUAAACUCCUUUUCCUUCUUUACUCUCUUCUCAUAUUUUUUAUGAACUUGUUAUUUUAGUAUUUGUGGACUUUUUAGAUGAGGAUACUAUGGAUCAGUACUAUUGCACUAAGCCUUUUUUUUCUUUGAAAAGCUACUUAAACUGUCUAGUUUGGCAUACAUUGCCAAUAAACUCAAGUUCAAAUUGUUUAGCCAACAAUUUUUUGAGAAAAAUCCAAAAGAAGAAGGAAUGGAGUUUGUUUAAUAUAGAAAAUAUAAUUACUUACUCUAGAAUUCUUUCAUUUUGAGCAAGUUCUCUCUUGGGCUUUUAAGGGAUACAUUUUUCAAUAGUGUAUCACAAUUUUUCUAAACAUACAUAAAUAGGAAAAUUGGGCACUUGUAACUUUUGUCUUCAACUCCAACUUAAAAAGAGCUAAAGCCAGCUUUAGUGAAGAACAAAUUAAGGAAUUAUUCACCCAAAUCUUAUGAGGCUUUGACAGAUGCAAAAUCAUAAUUAGAACAUUAUGCUAUCUCAAAGCUUUAAUCCAAGGUACUUUAGCUUGGACAACUACUUAAACAUGGUUUGAGAGUAGAUUUAUCCCGAAUUUAAGUCUCCCACAUAUAUUGCAAGAGUCUAUGAGACUUGAACAAGAUUCAUAAGUAAAAAAUUUAGAAGUGCUUAUCAUGAACCACUCUAACUGUUUGAACCAUUCUACACUUAAGGCUCAUCUCUUAUACAUAAAAAGCUUACUCAAAUAUUUGAGACUCAAAAAUUUGUCAUACAAGCUUUGUAUUGACCAUUAAUGCCUAUUGGCAAGAGGCUAGAGAAAAAUUUACCUUGAAGAGUAGUUUUUGUCUAGAUUUGAAGCAAAGUCUUUCACAAAUUAGCUAUCAUAUGCUUAAAAAGCUACCUAAUAUAAUUCCACAAGUAAAUUAAUCAGAAUAGGCUAUCGUGCACUAGACAAUUUAACCCUUAUGUUGAUUCUAUAAAGCAAUUUCACGGAAUGAUCUCUAUGCCUCGUUCAAAUUAAUCCCUAGUGUUGAUCUAUUUAAAAAAGGUUUGCCUAAAAUUUGCCAAGAGUAAUAGGCCACUCUUUCUAAUUUCACAGUUGUAAAGACAAAGUUAAUUGUAAGCCAGAGGGUAAGACCCACUGUGAAGCAAACAAACUAUUCUAGAAUUGACUCUCACGUGCUACAGACCUUUCACUAAAUUAAUCAUAAACACAAACAAAAAGGGAAGGUCCUUUUGCGCACCUAGAUGGAGAGAUUGAGGAUUGUCAGAAGAUAUAUUUUACUUAUGGACCCAGACAGAAGUUGGUUAAUCCCAACUAGGCAAAAGUAUAAGAAAACAAAAAUUAAACUAUCUUGUGUGCCUAAUUAAGCCAACGAAUGAUAAAUUUAACGAAAUUUCUUAAAUAACUCAAUAAAUUGAGAUAUUUGACAAUAUUCUGCUCAAGGUAUACAAAAGUUUGACUCUUGGUACCUUUACUAUUGUUAAAGAAGGUGUGAUAAUACACCUAGAUUGCUUUGUAGGUACAUAGUGUAAACGAAAUCUAUACUAGUUGCAAAAAAAAACAUUUUCUGUCAAAUUUUAAUGAGCACAAUGGUAAUUACAAGAAUAGCAAUAAACACCGCUAUCAUAUAUCCAUCCUUUUUUGAAAUUAAAGGAAAGGACCCACAAUUGUAUAUUGAGCAAUACAUAUAAGCAAUUAAACUCAAUCAAACAAAUGGGCAAACAAAAUUUUUUUUCCACUAUACGUUAAAAAACAAAGCCAAAAAUUGGUACUAUGACAAUGAUGUUAAAAGUCUUGGCAUAUUUAAUGAGCAAAUAAAAUUUUUCUUUAAAGCGUUCUCCAUGGAAACAAACCCAGGAGAAAACUAUAAUGAGUUGCAAAAGCUUCAUCAAGGAAAUUCUAAGACAAUCUAGGAAUAUACAAUUCAAUUCAAUAAGUGUUAUAAACAUUCUAAAGACUUAAUAUUAUGCCUAUAUAUACAGGGCCUUAAAAACAUUUAUCGUGAAUAUGUGAUAAAGAGAGUUUAUAUAGAUUUUGAUGACUUGAAAAAAGCCAUGAUUGCCUACCAAGAUUUCAUAAAACAAUAUGACAUAGUAGAUAUAGUAAAAUCAGACGAAAAAAUGACUCCUAUAAACAAAGAAACUAAUCAUCUAAAAAAGCCUUAAAUUGCAAAUUAAUCUCAAAUAAGGGAUUUGGUGCACAAGAUGCAAAAAUGAAAAUCAUAACAAGAGAGAAUGCAAACUCCAAUUGAUCAAGUGCCAAAUUUAUGAAAAAGAAUGGAUUCAGCUAAGGAAUGUAGAAUCUUGUUUAAACAACUAAGAAGCUAAACUGAGUUGAUAAAACAACACAUAAGCAAAGCUAUCCACCUAACAAUAGAAAUUAUUGUAGGAGGAACAAUUACAAUGAUAAAAUUGAAGUGCCAAACAUGAAUACCCAUGUGCUGAAAGGCAAGAGCACCAUCGGGAUUAUCCGUCUAAGGGUAAUUUUUGAGAUUAUCCACCUAGUCAUGAGGAAAAUAAGCCUAAAGAUUAUAAUUGGCAUAGAGAAUACAAUCAAUCUAGAGGUUACAAUAGGCCUAGAUAUUAUGAAAAGCUAAAAGAGUAUGAUCAAGCUAAGACUCCUACUUGGUAUUUGUGAGACACAAAAUCCCUAGGCCCCAAAGUGGAGCCGAAAGGGUGCCACGUGGUAGUGGCCGAAGCAAAAGCCAAACAAGCAUAACACGUUUGGACUAAAAGGCUCCGACUUGAAAGGUCGAGAGCGGGAAUGGAACUCCCAAUGGAGUGCUCAAGGAACGAGCAUGAAGCGAGCAAUAAGCGAGGCUCAAAAAAGGGACCCAAAAAGACCAACACAUCACACGUGGAAGUGUCCGAGAUGGAGUCCAAGAUGGACCCGAGUUGGAGUCCGAGAUGGAGUCCAAGGUGGACCUGACAUGGAGUCCGAGAUGGACACGAGUUGGAGUCUGAGGUGGAGUCCGAGAUGGAGUCCGAGAUGGACCGAGAUGGAGUCCGAGAAGGACCCGAGAUGGAGUCCGAGAUGGACCGAGAUGGAGUCCGAGAUGGAGUCUAAGAUGGACUCGAGAUGGAAUCUGAGAUGGAGUCCGAGAUGGACCCGAGAUGGAGUCCGAGGUCAAGACCGAGACCAGGACUGAGACCGAGACCGGGACCGAGACCGAGACCGGGACAGAGACCGAGGCCGAGGCCAAGACCGAGCCUGAGCCCGAGUCCGAGUCCGAGUCCGAGUCUAAGUCCGAGUUUGAGUCUGAGAGGGUGAAAGCCCAAAGCGUUCGUCUCCCAGACCCUGGGGGGUUUGGUGAGCUCCAAAAGUAUAGUAAGGGGUAGGGUUGCAGUGGAGCUAGUUUGGCCAGGAAAGGCUAGUUUGGCCCAAGAAAGGCCAGACCCAGUGUUGGGUGAUGAACUGACCACUGGGAAGUCCAAGACUAGAGUGAAUACAGACCGACAAGCGUGGUAGCUUGGUGAAGUGUUCAAGAGCCAGCUCUAGUUCCCCCGGGAGAUCGACUAGCCGAUGCUCCCAGUCCAAGUGUGGGUGGCACUACCUACUUGGAUACCUGGUGUGGCUCAACGGAACCUCACUCUAAGCCCAUAGCUAGAGCACCUAAAGGCAGAAGGUGGGGAGAGUACCCACGGGGCUUGCGUAGGGCCACGGUGUUCCGAAAUGUUGUCCCAAAGUCCCAAAUGGGGGAAAGGAGGAGGAAUAGUCCUCUAGUGUAGUGACUACGGAUAUGGUCACAUAGUGAGGAAGUCCCAGAGGACAAUGGGACUUAGUGGCCGGGUCUGCGGGCCUUGAUCUAGUGGCAGUGUUGGUGAACAUGGCCAUGGACGGAAGAGGGACUUGGCAAGAACUGACAAAGGGAUGUUGGGGAAGGCUAUUCCCAUGUCUGUGGGCAUCCUAAGGAUGCUAAGGAGUGGAUCUGGGAUGACCAUUUGUGGACGGAUGCCCCAGUCUUGGAGAGACGAGAUUGUGAUGCAAGUGGUAUUGGACCACCAGUGCAAUAAAGGUGAAUGGGCAUGGCUUUAGUGUAACGGGCCGAUAUGUCAAUGGUACCUUUGGGUGUCGGUCUUGGGACUGGACACAUGGAGCACUUGGACCAAGUGCAAGGGAUGAGUGGCAUGGAUGCCAUUCUCGGGACUAGCAGGUCCCAAGUCCUGAAUUGGACUUAAGGAGGUUGUGAAUGAGACUCCUCCAAGUGGGCAGAGGUGUGGUUAAGUGACUAAAGUAGAAUGGAAAAUUUAGUCGCUUACAACUUUAUAUCCGAGCUAUUCCUUAGUCUGACUUUUAUUGGUGGCCAAAUAUAUCACCACUUGUAUUGGAAUUGGAAAGUCCUAAAUAUGGACCUAUCCUUGAGGAGUAGCAUGUCGAGAGGACAUGGCUCUCCACUCAAGUUCAUGUGUGAACUUGUGCACAAUGUGGUGGAUGGAAAAGGGCCAGUAAGGGGACGACUUUGGGAUCUUGGGAAUAGUAUAAGGGUUUCCUUAGAGAGCUAAGGAUGUGAUCCAGAUGAGUGUUUGAUGCAGCAAACGGGUUAAUGUAGUUGUGGUAAACAACUAUAGUUGGGAUCAUGGGAAAGAUGCAGACUCCAAAAAAAUAAAGGAGUCACAAGAUUACCCUUAUAUAGUUGAGGCUGGUAUUCAUAAAUUUCAGAUCGGAAUUGGUGACCAUGGGAGGUCAAAUACAGAAGAGGACACAAGUCCUCGAAAUGGUAGCCGAGGCUACCUCUAAUAAAUGCUGGAACAACCCAAGGAGUUGGGGGUGUACUUAGAGGAUGAGUUGGUAUACUCAUCACAUGAACAAGUGGUUCUAAGCGGCAAAAGGUUGCCCCAAGAGAACAAAUCAAAUGUUGGAGUAACACUUGCAAAAAUGGUCCUUGUGAGUAGGAUCUGAAUACAAGAAGUUGUAUUCUAGUGAGCUAGCAUCUCAAAGGUAGGACCUCACGGGUCGUCGGAUGAUAAAGUCCAAAAAGCUGGAUAACUCAAAUACGAGUCAAGGAAUAAUCCUAAGGGAUUGGUUGAAGCAUUUGGACUGAGGUGUAUGGUGCCCCCUGAGGUAUGGGAAGGAUCAUAAGAUCCAAGUAUGAGAAUAUUAAGUAUCUCAUUGAUGGCAGAAUGUGCCAUACUAAAGUUGUGGGAAAGAUGUUCUUAGAAGAAAGCAACUUUGGCCUAGAGUUGGGUGCAAACACUAUGGUGCAGUGCUAACGGAUAGUUAGUAUGAGAAGCAACCAUAUUGGUCUUAGCAAAGACCUAGACAUUAAUAAGUAGUGUCAUAAAGAUAGGCUCGUAGGCUAAUAGUGUGAAGACACCAAAUGUGCCAAGGUGUGAUACCUUGAGGUUAUGUUGGUGGGUUCAUAAGAACCCCUUGCCAAAGGGAAUCCCAACGGAAAUGGGAAUGGCAUAGCCUAAGCUGGAAGGCAUGUGGUAGAGUGUGGUGACUAAAACAAUGAUGGAGGUGUGGAAGCACCAGCAAUGAGUUAUAGGACUUGACAACUAUGAGGCAACUAAGCAAAAGGUGCAAGAUAAUUUGUGAAACUGGAAGAAGGUAACUACCUAAGACAUCUUAAUGGUAUAAAGAAGUUAGAUAUACCCUUAUGCAGAAUAAAUUACUUAUGUUGUGAUAUAGUAAGUCAAUGUCGUAAAAGGGAAUGCUCAUUAUCUAAGAGGCCAUCAUUUGGGACACCCAAACACUCUAGAACACCAGAAUGUGGUGUUUGAUGUUGCCAGGGCAAUGGAUAAGGCCCAAGGGACUAAGUCCCUAGCAAAUGAUGGAUAGAAGGUGCUAUCCAAAUGUCCAAGGUGGCGGAGAUGGGAGAAGACUGUCUACCCAAAUUGGACAAAGCCAAAAAUGGAAUUUAGGCAAGGCUAGUGAUGGGCAUAUAAGGGCCCAUAAGCAAUAAUGUUAAUCCCGGUGUGUGGGAUUAUAAGGUGAGUAUAUCUGGAUUGAGGAACCACUCCCUAGGUUGUCGAGUAGGUUCAUCCCCAAGAAUACUUGCUAAGGCAUGGUAGAAAGUGCAAAGCUAUCCUAGGCGAAUAACCGAAGGAAAGGUGUGAAGCCAAAAGCAAGUAGUAAGGGGAUAAAACCAAACCAUAGGAAUCGAAGAGCAUAAUCAAAGGUGUUUAUGCUAGUUGGGAGUGGAGGAUCAAGUGGGUGCUCGAGUAUGUUGUUACUAGCAACCAUGAUGCCAUGGAGAGUCUAAAAUAUGGAAUUAUCCAUGUUAGACUAUAUGGCAACUAAAAAGCUUGCGAAAAGGGAGGCCUUAACAAGCUAAGGGACAAAGUUCCUUCGAAGUUCCUAAAGAUGAUGCUAGGUAAUUUAGUACCUAGAAAGGCCAAGUGUAAAUGGUUCCUAGAGCACACAAAAUUAGAGUGGCGCAGCAGAAGCGUGGUUUUGAAGCUGGUCAUGAAGCAAGGCUAUUAAAGUUGGGGAAGUAGUUCUCGAGUGUUCAAAGAGAGGGCUUUGAACGAAAGUCGAUGGUUAAGGACUUUCAUGCUUAUGCAUGAACCAUGUUACAAUGGCCGGAUGUAGCGCACCUUAUAUCUCUCCCCUUAAGCCAACUGGAAAAGGGGCAAUUGCUUGAUGAGAGAGCCCUUAGUGGCUAUUUUAUCCCCAUCUAUCUCCUAAGGUUCCAAGGAUCCACGGUGACAAUAUAUCCAAAUCUCAUCCCAUGAUCACAUGCGCUACACUCACCCCCCCUUCAGAGAUGUCAAUGUCCUCAUUGACUAUUGACUAACAACCCCUACUGAGCCAAGGGGAACCAACACCUCCAUUUCCGCACUCAAUCUACCAAUCCUUCCAUUGUGUAGACCAGCUAUUUCAUAUGAGGCAACUAGUCAUCCACCCGUACCGCAGUCCCACGGUGGAUACCUUCGUCCGUGGAUACUCCACACAAGAGGAAGGACGUACGCAUGGAUGCCCAAUACGUACGAUUUCAAAUUUAGAGGUAGGAAUAUACCUUGCUCAAGGGUAUAUUAUACUUUUAAGUAGCCACUAAUCAAUGGGAAUCGAACCCGUGCCAUUUGCUCUGAUACCAACUAUAGCGCACCUUAUCUCUCUCCCCUUAAGCCAACUGGAAAAGGGGCAAUUGCUUGAUGAGAGAGCCCUUAGUGGCUAUUUUAUCCCCAUCUAUCUCCUAAGGUUCCAAGGAUCCACGGUGACAAUAUAUCCAAAUCUCAUCCCAUGAUCACAUGCGCUACACCGGAUGACUUACUAAGUGAGAUUGGCAAGUGUGGAUAAUGGAGCAACAAUUAAUGGAUAAAAGCAAAAGACUAGUGGCCAAGUGUGGGCUAUGGAGUUCAUUGGAAGGAAUCCAAAUGGCAAAGUUAGGCAUGGAACAUUAAUGUGUUGGAUGCUAACGGAUUGUGAGAAAGGAAGUGUGCUUCCAAGGAUGGAUUCCCAAAUGCUCCAAGUUGGCAAAGGUGAAAGCUCCAAAGGAGGGAGCAGCGAAGUAGCCAAAAGAUAAGGCCAUGGAUAGCUCUAGCACAACUUACGAUGGCUGGAACUUGGUGCCAAAAGCAACAUAAAAUAGAAAGGAGGACGAUGGCACCCUCAAAUGGGGAGCUUCCUAGGAUGGGAACUGAAGUUGCACAAUAUGUUCAAUGAAAGGUGUCAAAGACACCAAAGAAAUUGACUUCGAGAAGUCAAAAUUAAAAGUUCCAAGGUGAAUUGGUUAUGUCAAUAGAAGUUGGGAUUACUCGAGAAUGAGUAGUGGGGUUAAGCUAGAGGACGGGUCUCUAAUGGGUUUGGAGAGAACCACCUGAGGUGGUCAAAUGAGUCUCUAUGUUAGAGACACUAUGCUCCUUAGAGGUUGGACAAGGCAUGGCAAGCCUUCGGUGUCAAACCAUUGACAAAUAUUGGCUAAGUGUCAAGGAUGGUGAAGGUAAUACAUGCUAGUGUUACUUUAUAAAACGGUUUAUCGUUCGAUGAGGACAUGGAACUUCGUCUAUGGGUGGUGGAGUUGUGAGACACAAAAUCCCUAGGCCCCAAAGUGGAGCCGAAAGGGUGCCACGUGGUAGUGGCCGAAGCAAAAGCCAAACGAGCGUAACACGUUUUGACUAAAAGGCUCCGACUUGAAAGGUCGAGAGCGGGAGUGGAACUCCCAACGGAGUGCUCAAGGAAUGAGCAUGAAGCGAGCAAUAAGCGAAGCUCCAAAAAGGGACCCAAAAGGACCAACACAUCAUACGUGGAAGUGUCCGAGAUGGAGUCCAAAAUGGACCCGAGUUGGAGUCCGAGAUGGAGUUUCGAGGUGGACCCGACAUGGAGUCCGAGAUGGAGUCCGAGAUGGACCCGAGUUGGAGUCCGAGAUGGAGUCCGAGGUGGACCCGAGAUGGAGUCUGAGAUGGACCCGAGUUGGAGUUCGAGGUGGAGUCCGAGAUGAAGUCCGAGAUGGAGUCCAAGGUGGACCCGAGAUGGAGUCUGAGAUGGACCCGAGUUGGAGUCCAAGGUGGAGUUCGAGAUGGAGUCCGAGAUGGACUGACAUGGAGUCUGAGAUGGAGUCUGAGAAGGACCCGAGAUGGAGUCCAAGAUGGACCCUAGAUGGAGUCCGAGAUGGACCGAGAUGGAGUCCGAGAAGGACCCGAGAUGGAGUCUAAAAUGGACCCGAGAUGGAGUCCGAGAUGGAGUCCGAGAUGGACUCGAGAUGGAUUCUGAGAUGGACUUGAGAUGGAGUUCGAGAUGGAGUCCGAGAUGGAGUCCGAGAUGGACCGAGACGGAGUCCGAGAUGGAGUCUGAGAUGGACCCGAGAUGGAAUCCGAGAUGGAGUCCGAGAUGGACCUGAGAUGGAGUCCGAGGUCAAGACCGAGACCAGGACUGAGACCGAGACCGGGACCAAGACCGAGACCGGGAUUGAGACCGAGACUAAGACCGAGACCAGGACAGAGACCGAGCCCGAGCCUGAGCCCGAGACCGAGGCCGAGCCCGAGUCUGAGUUCGAGUUCGAGUCCGAGUCCGAGUCCGAGUCCGAGUCCGAGUCUGAGUCUGAGUCUGAGUUGGAGUCUGAGUCCGAGUUUGAGUUUGAGUCUGAGAGGGUGAAAGCCCAAAGCGUUCAUCUCCCAGACCCUAGGGGGUUUGGUGAGCUCCAAAAGUAUAGUAAGGGGGAGGACUGCAGUGAAGCCAGUUUGGCCAGGAAAGGCCAGACCCAGUGUUGGGUGAUGAACUGACCAUUGGGAAGUCCAAGACUAGAGUGAAUACGAACCGACAAGCGUGGUAGCUUGGUGAAGUGUUCAAGAGCCGGCUCUAGUUCCCCCAGGAAAUCGACUGGCUGAUGCUCCCAGUCCAAGUGUGGGUGGCACUACCUACUUGGAUACUUGGUGUGGCUCAACGGAACCUCACUCUAAGCCCAUAGCUAGAGCACCUAAAGGCAGAAGGUGGGGAGAGUACCCAUGGGGCUCGUGUAGGGCCACGGUGUUCCGAAAUGUUGUCCCAAAGUCCCAAAUGGGGGAAAGGAGGAGGAGCAGUCCUCUAGUGUAGUGACUACGGAUACGGUCACAUAGUGAGGAAGUCCUAGAGGACAAUGGGACUUAAUGGCCUGGCCUGCGGGCCUUGAUCUAGUGGCAGUGUUGGUGAACAUGGCCAUAGACGGAAGAGGGACUUGGCAAGAACUGACAAAGGGAUGUUGGGGAAGGCUAUUCCCAUGUCUAUGGGCAUCCUAAGGAUGCUAAGGAGUGGAUCUGGGAUGACCACUCGUGGACAAAUGGCCCAGUCUUGGAGAGACGAGAUUGUGAUGCAAGUGGUAUUAAACCACCAGUGUGACAAAGGUGAAUGGGCAUGGCCUUAGCAUAACGGGCCGAUAUGUCAAUGGUACCUUUGGGUGUCAGUCUUGGGACUGGACACGUGGAGCACUUGGACCAAGUGCAAGGGAUGAGUGGCAUGGAUGCCAUUCUCGGGACUAGCAGGUCUUAAGUCCUGAAUUGGACUUAAGGAGGUUGUGAAUGAGACUCCUCCAAGUGGGCAGAGGUGUGGUUAAGUGACUAAAGUAGAAUGGAAAAUUUGGUUGCUUAUAGUAUCUUAGGCUAUACAAUCAAAUUGAAUCAUCAAGCAAAAAUGAUAAGCCUCCUAAAGGUACAUAGCCUACAGCUAGACAAAUUGAGGUAGAAUGGUUAGAUACAGAAGAGCUACCUAGUGUUUGUGUCAUGACUAAAUCCCAACAAAGAAGAGCUGAAUUUGAAUGCUAAGAUAAAAGGAGUGAUAAUGAAGUAGAAAUCAUCCCUAACUCUCAAUGGUGUUAAAAGAAAAAGAUCAAUGAAGAAAUCACUCAACAACUCCAAGACUUAGAACCACAAGUCAAUUUGGAGAAUGGUGAUUUUAACACAGAAAGUUUCACGCCUUUACAAAUUGACAUGAAUUUACCACUAUUAUAAAAGGAAAAUCUUAUACUAAAGCUAAAUGGUAAAAAUGAGAAAAGGUAGCAAAAGGCAUUUAAAUGCCAGAAUUACACUCACUUUAAGCUAACUUCUCAUUAUAGCAUCUUACCUUAGAGCUAUAUUGCUUAAAGAGAUCUUGUCUAAAAAGGAAGAAACUUUAAUCUCAUCUAUGGCCAUUACAAUUAAGUUAAAGGACUGUGAUGAUAAAGUUUUUACAAUUGAUAUAAAGAUUAGCAAGAAUUUUUUAUUUGGAACUCUUAUCGAUAGUGGCUUAAGCAUAAAUAUUUUAGAAGAGAGUAUUUGCAAAGAAUUAAGCUUAAGCCCAAUUCAAUCAGCCCUAUUUAAUGUACGAAUAGCACAUGAUUGGAGUGUCAAACCCAUCAGAAUUAUUAGAAAUGUCUUAACCAAUGUGGCUGACCUAAAGUACAAACUCAAUUAUGUCAUACUUAAAAUGACAUGACAAGAUUUUGCCUACAAAACUCUAUUAGGUAAACCUUGGUUAAAAAUUGUUUACACAAACCAAGAUUGGAAAAAUGGUUUUGUGCAUAUAGAGUAAGGCAACAAAAAAAAAUCGUGCCCAUUACUUCCACCAUACAAUUGGAAAGGAAAAAUCAACCUUUCAAAACUUAAUUUUAUGAUUGGGAGGAAGACUUAAAUGAUUUCCAAGAAUAACAAAUAUUAAAAACUUUCCUUGAAAUUAAGCCAAUUUCAAAAGUUUAUCUUUAUUUAAUACUCAAAAAAGUACCUAAGCAAAAAACCCUUAGAUUAAAAAUUAGUUCAGUUAUAAAAGAUUUCUCCUUAAAGGAGGAUCUUGCCUAUAAAAUUGAUUAAUAAAGAAAUUAUAUUUUACAUGUUUCUUAUGAUCAACCAUUUGAGCAAAUCAAUUUAACAAAUGAGGAUAAUUUUCAUACUAUCACAAUUACUCACGAAUUGCAACGUGAAUUUCACAAUUAGGCUAUAAAUCUACUAAAAGGGUAUAAAGACAUUUUUGUUUAGUUUUACACAUAUUUAAGAGGCAUUCCGUCAUAAUUAUGUAUGUAUCUUAUUGAGAUACUCUUGGAAAUAUGCCUAAAAGGUAAAUGCUCUAUAGAAUAAAUCUUAAUUACCAAAAUAAACUCAUUGAGGAAAUUGAUAAACUUCUUUAUGUAGGAUUCAUUUAUCAAAUCCAGAAUGCUCAAUGGCUUUCACCACUUGUGAUUGUGCUUAAAAAAAAUAGCAAGUGACGAGUUUGUAUAAAUUAUAAAAAGUUAAAUGAUGCAAUAAAAAAAAAAUAUUCCCUAUUCUUUUCACAAAUGAAAUUCUGGAUUUAGAAUAAAACUUUCCAUUACUCAAUUCCCUUUGUCUCGCUAUAAGUUCUUCUACAAUAUAAUAGCCUUCCAUAAUCCUUCAAGUGGUCGAAAGUGUGGUUAAGUGACUAAAGUAAAAUGGAAAAAUUAAUCCCUUACAUUAAAGAAAUCAAAUCAUCCAUCAAGAACUUGUCAAUCUAUGCCAAAGUGUCAAGCUUAUCAUUAUAAAGACCAAGCUCAACAACCUAGAGCAAGAUUUGGAAAAUCUAACUACCUAAGGACAAACAAUAGCUUUAUCAUGGGGGAGUGAUGAAAAGGUAAAUGUUUUAUUUUGUAUAUCUUUCCAGGCAAAGCAAAAGAAGGAAACUUAAGCGAAAUGGAGUUAUGCUUAAAUUUAGGCAUCCAAAGAAAAAAUAACUCAACCUAGGCAACACUUGUCAUAGUUAAAAAUAGUUAUAAAAUUAUGUAGUAGCACUUAGAUGUUCUAGAAAACAACCCCCACUCACUAUUGUACGUAUUUGUAUUAAAUUAACCAUCUUUUUUUCUGUUUAUGACUGUUUGUGCAAAGUAAAGUUGAGAGAGUGACAUAUAUUUAUCCUUACUCAUGCCUUUGGGGUUUAAGGCUGAGUUUUAUUCUAUUCUCUUCUUAUUAUUUUUCUCUUUUUUUCUUCUUUAUGUUUUUAUCUAUGUUUGUUUGUCAUUAUUUUGUAGGCAAGGGCAAGAACAUGAGUAUAGGCAAAAAAAGCCUUACUCAAGAUUGCAUUAGGAUAAGAAACUUGUUAGAGCUGAAAUCCAAGGUAUGAUAGGUGCCUUAAGGUCAUAUUUAAUGGCAAUUUUAAAAGAAAUUCCUGGACAUAGCUAAUAUAUAGUUAAUGGUUCUUUCUUGUUUCAAGUAAACACUUUUUUUAGUUUCCUUCUAAAUGUUCAUUCUUUACUCUCAUUUUUGGCUCUUUAUCAUGGUAUUGGAGUAGGAUCAAAAGGAUGGAAAUUCUGCCAUUGUCACUUUGGCAAUUCCAUUUCCAUUUUUGAUAACUUCUCAAGUUGGAGAUAUUGAAUCCUUAAAAGCAAGGGAGUUUAGGUUGUUGUCAAUAGUGAUGAGCUGAAGUCAGGCUACAAGGUGGAUAUCUGGAAUUGGUGUGAGGACCAUGGCAUGGUGAUGAUUAGGUUUGUGGUGAUAGAGAGCAUAUUGGAUGAUCUUGUCUUUAGUGAGAAUUACAUCAAUAGCAAGUUGUGGAAGAAGCUGUGUGCACUGUAAAGUUUUGCUAUGAAGGAUCUUAGAGAAACUUGAUAUUUUCUUAAUCUUGAGAUUCACCAUGAUACAAAAACAAAGUCUCUUUACAUCUCUAAAUAUCAAUAUUUAACAAAAGUCCUUCUUAUUUGCUUAUGAAACAUAAGUAAUAUUAAGUUCUUGAUAAAAAUUGAAUGUCCUUCCAACAAGAAGGAUUGGUAGAAAAUUGGCUAAGAGCAAUGAUAACAUAAGCCAAAUUUGGACAGUUGCACACCAUAGUAUAUAUAUCAUACUCCCAAAAAAUGGUACUUUUGCCAUGGCUCGACACUCUUGGCAAAAAACAUCAAGACAACCAAAUUUGUGAUAUGUUAUACAAAGUAAGCUUUUGUUUUUGACAAGUGGUGGUUUUUCUUUUGUUACUUACAGCAACAUUAGCUUGACAGAGAUAGCCAUAAAUCCACAACAAGGUGUUUUUUCUAACUUGGAACAAGUCUUGUUCUUUAAACCAACAAGAAGCAAACUCACAUUACUUUUUCCUCUAUAGAAACAAAGUAUCUUGCUACCUUAAUUGCUUCGAAGGAAAUUCUUUAGUUUCAAAAAUUUCUUGGAGCUCUUGGGAAAUCCUCCACAUUAAUUACUCUUCAUGUUGACAAUAAAAGAAUUAUUGAUUAGUUGCAACACUAGAAGUUUCGAAAAACUAUCACUAUGUCAAAGAUCUAAUACAUAUAGAAAUUCCAUUGGAGUCAUGGCCAAGCCUUGACUAAGGAAGGCACUAACAACAAUCAAGGAGUGUUAGAGCUGAAAUCCAAGAUGUGAUAAGUGCUUUGAGUCAUAUUUAGCAGUAAUUUCAAGUGAAACCUUUAAACAUAACAAUAGUUCUUUCUUGUUUCAAGUAAGCAAUUGUUUUCUGAAAAGAUUCUAUUCAUUCUUUGACCUAACUACCACUUAGGCGCAGUAGAGCAUGGUCUCUCAAUCGUCAACCCUAAUCCCUAAUCGAGUAGGAGACUGGUCUUUCAUAGGGAUGAUCUGGCCACAUACUGAGGGCAUCGCUGCAGCCUCUAGUGCUCCUGGAUCCAGCACUCUACUCUUGCAAGUGUUGUUUUUCUGGCCUCACUUUUGCAGCUGCCCGGCAUAAGCAACCCCGAGUGCCAACCCACUUAAGUUUGUUUCCAAUCCAAUCCAUACACGCUAAAAGCCACUUGGAACCAAAACAAUAAACUCACAAUUGUGUCACACACUCACAGCAAGGCCGUCGUUGGCCAUUUCCUAAUGGUGCCAAGCUGAAUCCAACCACACUAUUUUGAUUGAGAGCUCGCGAUCAAUCAAGAAGAAACCACCUAAAGGAAAACCGAUGCUUUGCUUUGCUCCUGUUUUAGCUACACUCACUUCCAACUCGCUGCCUCUACUUCCGUUUAGUACAUACACUAUUUUACAAUUGAACAUCAAGUAUCAUAAGAUGGUGGACGACUUACUAGGGUCGAAGCCUCUCCUCAUCUCUGCCAUUCACGUGCUGGUCGUGGUCGUUGAUGUCCUUCACUUACAAUUCUAUGCUUUGGCGUUGCCUCGGUGGUCCGCACGGCUUUAAAAUGGUGGGCCCAGAUCACAUGGCCGGACUGAAAGCACGUGUUUUGACAGAGAUAACCAAUCAGGCGCUCUUGAUUUUAAAGCACGUGUUUUUCUCUCACAUGCUUGACAGGCCUAUAAAUGUAUGCAAGAAUUGCUGUGACUUGCCAACAUCGAGAAGUCAUUGGAACCAUGCUUCUUCGUGCUCUAUCGCUCUUUGCAUUGUGUUUGCUGGUUUCCGCAGCACCAGCAUCACCCCCUCCUCCUGGUUCAUGUUCAUCCGACGCUGACUGCCCGGAGGCAUACCCCUGCUGUAGUUCAUGGGGAGACUGUGGCAACAAAGCCCCAUGGUGUUCGUCGCCUCCUCCACCGCCUCCACCAUGCAAGUCUCCUUUAUAUGGUACUAGUGCUGAUGGUACUGCCUUCAGUGGAAGUCUUACGAGUACGCCACUGGAGGGGCUACGCAUAAUCAGCGGUUGUGUGGUUGAUGCCAUUCAGUGGAAGUCUUCGGGUUCUUCUUGGACUCAAAUGUAUGGAACGAACUCCUGUUCAGGAUGUUUACCACAGCCGCCUCCGCAAGCUGGUCUGAGAAGCACAUCCUACGAGGUCUUUUUAAGUUAACGUUUUUCUUACUUUCUCAAUUUCUUUCUGCAGAUCUCUUUGGGCUCGGAUGAGUACAUUUACAAGGUAUCGGGUACAACUGGAACAGACAAAACAUGCGGUGCUGGUUGGGCGGGAGAAGGUGUUGUUUCGCUGACUGUGCAUGUCAAGAACAUGAAAACUGGUAAAACCAAACCAUAUGGUCCAUUUGGUACUUCGACGAGUGGCACUUCCUUCGAAACAGCACCAGGCAACAUAGUCUCGUUCUUUGGAUAUGCAAGCCCCAAGUCAUAUAUGAAAGGCAUCGGUGUUAUCUAUUCGACGUGCCCAUCCAGUUCUGUUCAGACCACCCCCAUGGGGGCGUUUAGCAUCAUUUAAGGAGUUGCCAAACUAUGGUGCUAUGCCAGACUAUGUAAUAAAGAUUUGGUGCUAUGCUAAACUAUGUAAUAAAGAUUUUGGUGCUGUAUUAUCUGAGCAGCUCGCAGGGCUCCAGAGAAUACAAGUCGGACUGCUAGCAAAAAUGAUCUAUCUAUCUAUAUGCUAUUUUGAGUGCCCAUCCUGAAGCAUGAGACGCAUUUUUUGCGUCGCUGUCAUCUUCCAUCGCCUCCAAUGGCGUCUUCACUUCCAUGGUUGGGCGGGAUCUUGUCUAAUUGUUCUUUGCUUCGUUCUAGGAGGCUAUCUAGCCUAUCUAUGAGGCUAAAGGUGUUGGUUCUUUUCUCAUUGAGCUUAACAAUGGGACUACAUGCCAGAUUGACCACAAAAUUUUUUCCUAUAUCUUGUUCAAUUUUCUGGAAAUCAAUGCAGUAUUACUUUUUUUUUUCUUUUAUGCCCCUUCUUUUUGUUCACCUAAUGGCAGAGUAAUAUAUUCAUCCUUUACAACAGCCUUUCCCUCAUUAGCAAUUGGUGUAAUUACUUAAUACUAUGACCAAAACUAAAUAAUCACAUUCAAUUAAUGGUAACAUUUAUGGUGUAUAGUAUAAUUCUUUUUACUUUUACUGCUAAUCCUUGAGUUUCUCUAAAUUUCUUCUAUGAGAUGAUUAUAAGGAUGAUUUGUAUUAUUAAUUUGAUCAUUUUACAAUGAUUACUAUCUAUCAUUCUUCAAAUGAUAUUUGGCAUUUGCACAAAUUUCCCAAAUGUUUACAAAGGAUAAUUUUACAAUGAUACAAUGUUUUAAGCACAGACACUUCUGCAGAUUAAAGUUGUGGGAAUACUAAAUUAGCACACGAUGUGAUUAUACAAGAACUUUGCUGUAAAAUGCUAAUCUGUUGUCUUGAGAGCCACAGCCUCCACCCACAUAGUGAAGAAAUUUAUUGCCAACAAGUAAUAGUGGCUACGUAAAGAUGCUAGAGAUAAUGGGCAAGUGUAAAAUGGACUUGAAAAGGUAAUGAACUGAAAGGGAAAAUGUUGCUUCAAGGAUUGAACUGUUAGCAUAUGCCUCUAUGGCCUUGAAAAUAACAGGCCAAUAAAAACCACCAUUGUUGAUCCUGCAAAAUGGCCUUUAUAAAGGUGAAAGACUUUGACUUUAGCUUCUGUCAAGCAGCACAGUCAAGCUGUCAACAAGAAAAAUUCUGAGCCUUGAUCUCCAAAGCCCGUUGCCACACCAUUGGCAAGUUGUCUGGGGACUCUUGUGAUGCAAAUUUGACCUUGGUGUCAAUGGGUGCACAAUAGAUUUGCUUUUGUCAACUGCCCAGGGUUUGCUAGGCAAUUUAUACUCUUGGUUCUAGUAUGCUCAAGAGUUGAUUACAUAGGAACUCUAAGGUUGUCAAUGUAAAGUUAGAGGAGUGGUUCAUUCUUGAUGCAACUUUUCAUAUACCAAUAUAACUGUCUCCUCAAAAUAAAGGUGACUUUAAGUUCCCUAGUCCACCCGCUGGACCGCUUUGUAGCUUUGCUAAGAUUUGUCAAUGCUUAUUCCCCAUUGAGUGGUACACUCUAAGCCACUUGGGGUUGAUGUUCAUCAAGUAGUAUUGGCAGCAUGCUUGGCAAGCCCUGGUCGCUGGCCAUGAGCACUGUGUUGGCUGGCCCAAGAAUCUCUGCUUAAACUCAUUUCUUGGAUUUUCAAUGACAAAGCUUCUUAUUGGUCACACUAAUUGUGGCGAGUUUCUUUGGAGUAGCCUUCUGGUCACUGGAAACGCUUCGGUAUGCCGAGAGCCAGGCUUGGCUCCGUGGCACCACUUGGAGCAGGUGAUCGAUGUAGAGACAGAUUUUCCUUAUCACUUUUCUUGCAACAUUGGCAGACGGAGAAGUCACAAAGCAAGCUUAAAUGAUGGAGAAAACCGGCAUUUGAUCUGAAAGCUCGUCGCUCUCAAAGACAGGCAAACGUCCUAUUGUUGUUCUUUCCCUACAGUAAAAAUUUUGAGCUCAAAUGAGUAGCUACUCAUUACUGUCCUGCCACGACUCAAGGGCCGCAAAGAACCUCUGCCAACCGAAGUAGACCCCCUCGAUGAUAAGAGCAGUCAGGUCCCUGGGAUCGUCGUCGUCCUCGCGAGCACUCUCGAAGCACUUGAGGUAGACAUCCCGGUUCACAAAGUCGUGGUGGCGGCCAGCACCAGCAGCAGCAGCAGCGAACAAGACGUUGGGGAACACAGCCACGCUGCGAAGCAAGUAGGCCAGCAUCAUCCUCCCGCAUCGCCCAUUCCCAUCCACAAACGGAUGGACGCACUCAAACUUGUAGAAGAAUUCUGAGGCCAGCACCAGGAGCUGCUCCACCGUCUUGCAGCUGAUUGUCGUCCUCUCCUCCUCGAAGAGCCGCUGCAGAUCCGCGUUGGUCUUGCUCACCAACUUGGACAGCUUCGGCCGGAUUGCCCAGGCAUCCGCGUAGAAGUGCUGCCUUCCGCUGCUCGUGAUCGUCAUUGCAACCUCGUUGCCGGACCGAAACAAGCCCGCGAUGUCCGGCCUGCCCGACUCCAUAAGCAGCUCGUGUGACUGCCUGAGCUUGUAGUUGUUGACGCUGGGAUCCUCCUCCUGAUCCUGGAGCCACCAUGUCUUGUUGAAUGCUCGGGACAGGCAGCGGACUUGUUCCAAUCUCUCGUCCCGAGCCACUACUUUGUCGUCCAAGUCCCCUUGGAGCUGCUCCAGGGCGUGGAGUGUUUCAUCCCGGGUAUCAAAGCCUUCCAGCUCCAGCUUGUUCACCUGGAACAGGAAGUCGGCCAUGGCGUCGCGCUGCGCGUACACGUCCAGCGCCCAUGCUUUGGCAUCGCCAUCCAACGCCAGGAACCUCUUCACGUACCCACAAAUGGCGUCCACCAUGCUGCUCGUCGCCGGGGCUCCGUCGCCACCGCACCUCCAAAAGGGCCUCUCCGCGUAUCGCCCCAUCUGUAAGCCCUAACCAACAAGGGCUCCAUGUUAUACCCUUUUCAUUUUAAGGUGGCUAUGUAUAAAGCUUUCUCAAAUUUGUGUAAACCUAUAUUCCGAGAAUAUUCCAAGGCCCCUCAAAAUAUGCAAUAUGAGAGCCUAAACACUGUGUAACCAUUUUCAUGCAUGGAUAUUUGUAGUACUUGGUACCUGAGAACCGAACAUGCUAUCCAGCUGGCCUGUUGAAAUCAUUUUCACAGCACAGGAAAGUGUUUGUCCAUACCCCAAGUGUCACUUUAAUCAUGCCGGUUGCAGCUCGAGCCCGCUUCUUCCCCUUGUUUUGCGGCGCAGAAGCACGAAAUCAGCUUGAAAUACAAAGAUGUCACACCCUGGCCAAAGAUCACAUCGCCAAGGUGAGAAUCUCAACACUCUAGAAUCCUCAAAGUCUCACCUCACGCGAGAAUUCCAGGCAAAAACAGCCAUGGACAAGUUCCUCCAAAGCGUCGAGUCGAAUCCCCACAGACGAGACGCAGCCGAGCCUUGCUACUCGCUGCACGAGCCAGGAGACCUCGUCUAUGGAACCGCUCUCGUCUUUCACGGAUUCGGGCAAUCUCCACAGCAGUGCCAGUUGCUCGCGGACUACCUGUUUGACAAUGGCUUCAAUGUCUACCAGCCUUGCCUUGCUCGCCACUAUCUCGGAAAUCCGACUCUAAACUGGCCGCAGGUGACACAUCUUAAAGUUCGCUCUUUACUUUCAUCUCCACCCAGGUCGAUCUCAAGCCGGAACUGAAAGAGAAGAUCCGGCAAAACUUCCUCAAGGAUCCGGUCCUAGCCAAGGAGCUCUAUAUCUCUGUAAGCCUUCGGCUAUGACGUUUUCAUCCUGCUGACAGUCUGCUGGCCUGUGUUCUUCGUGAUUGUUGUCCCAGGCGGAAGACACCAUGCAGCGAGUUCGCUCCCUUUCCCCCGAAAUGUCUGAUAUAAUCGCUGCGCUCGACCAAGGUGACCGUAGCCAGGAUUUCCAGAGGUCUGUGAGCGCUGCUCUUCACCUCCAAAAUGAACUAACCACUUGGCUGCCAGGUUUUUCGACUCGAGCCACUUGGACUACUUCACGGAAGCCGAGCAGCGACUAGAAGAAGUGCGUGCUCUGCCAGGCCCGAUCUUCGCGAUAGGCAUCUCGAUGGGAGGAGCCACUGCGUUGCAUCUCGCCAACACUUAUCCAGACACAAUCUCGAAAGUCGUAGCGUACGCCCCGCUCCUGAAGGUAGGACGAAACUUAGGCUUCGAAACAAAAGAAGAAAGAACAAACUUACUAAUGAUCGAUCGAUUUUCUGGCCAGACAAUGGAUGAUGCGAGGAGAGAAUUUGCUCUGGCGAUCGGCCCGCUGGACGUGAAAGAAACCGGAUGGGAGCCAUCGCUCCAGUUCACAGUGGGAUGCCUUGUAGCAAUCGACCUGUGUGGGACUCGCAUCAGCCAAUCCAACAUAGAUAACCUCGCAAAGAAAGUCGCUACCUUGCUACUCUUCACCGCAAACGAAGACUCGGCCGACCUUCCAACGCAGGAGAAAUUCGCGCAAAGACUAAAAGCCAUCUCCUCCGGUAGGAUGCUUUGAUCUUCAACAAUGCGGAAAAAUUCUCCCGUUGCUACUGUCCCAGAUGGAGUGCCACACCUGCAUUACACAUAUCGCCGCGAGCUGGAAGUCCCGCACGCGAUGAUCCACCCAAACGAGGUAGGAAAUCGAGAAAUUCUCGAGAGAUUUCUAACCUCUCGCUUGGCGCAGAGGCCGAUCGCGAACAAGCUGUGGAGAAGAAUGUACCAGGAGACAUUUCGAUUCCUGACCACCGGGAAGGCGCGCCAGGACGAGCUCGAUUCGCUGCGCCAAGACGAAACCCUACCCCAAGUACCAUAAACCCUAAAACCCCAAAUUCUCGGGAGCAAACUUUUAU
rnacentral:lncRNA from 1 species